rnacentral:rRNA from 1 species
GAGUUUGAUCGUGGCUCAGAUUGAACGCUGGCGGCAUGCCUUACACAUGCAAGUCGAACGGCAGCACGGGAGCUUGCUCCUGGUGGCGAGUGGCGAACGGGUGAGUAAUGCAUCGGAACGUAUCCUGGAGUGGGGGAUAACGUAGCGAAAGUUACGCUAAUACCGCAUAUUCUGUGAGCAGGAAAGCGGGGGACCUUCGGGCCUCGCGCUCUUGGAGCGGCCGAUGUCGGAUUAGCUAGUUGGUGAGGUAAAGGCUCACCAAGGCGACGAUCCGUAGCAGGUCUGAGAGGAUGAUCUGCCACACUGGAAUUGAGACACGGUCCAGACUCCUACGGGAGGCAGCAGUGGGAAUUUUGGACAAUGGGGCAACCCUGAUCCAGCCAAUGCCGCGUGAGUGAAGAAGGCCU